ACAUAUAUAAGUUGAGUAUAUGUCCACAAAUUUUGAACCGUUAAAAAUUAACGUAUGAUUUGUUAUGAAUUUUAAGAGGUGACUGAUUCAGAAAUUAUGUUUAUAAAUGAUUUUUGGUGAAAAAUUCUAGAAUGAGUGGGCCCCACUUUUGGUUGGUGAGAAAUGUGAUCAAAUUUUAUUUCAAAUGUGGUGGGUGGCAAUAGUAGCAGGUAAAGCCAUCAGGUAGUAGGUCAAGUCUGCUUCGGCGUGCUAGCAUUUUCUUAUAAAUAGGUGCUUAGGUUAGAAUUGAAAAUCACACCAGAAACAAGUUAUCUUUCUCUCUAUAUUAUCGAGUAUAUUUUUGUGAGUAUUUUGAUACUUUGAGAGUUACUAAUCAGUGCAAGUUUUCUUCAGCGUCAUAUUCGAUAUUCCAGUCAGGAUACUGCUCUUUUAUGGUAAGGGAUAUUGUCAUUAUUAUGGUAAGGGAUUGUAAGGGGUUGUAAGGAAUGUUAUUUUCUUCGUAAAUGAUAUUAUUUUCUUCAAUAUCAUUAUGCUGAAAUAUUGAUAUAAACUUUAUUGUGGAAUUUCUACCUUUUUGUGUCGGGGUUACUAUUCACGUAUACGGCACUAUUCAUGUAUAUGACACUAUUUACGUAUAUGACAUUAUUUAUGUAUACGGUACUAUGUACGAAUACAGAGUACUAUUCAUGAGUUAAUAUUCACGAGUUACUAUUCACGACAAAAUUGUUUUCUUU
rnacentral:lncRNA from 1 species